AUCUAGCUGAUGAGUCCCAGAUAGGACGAAGCGUGUGUCUUGGAU
rnacentral:hammerhead_ribozyme from 1 species